rnacentral:rRNA from 1 species
AGUGAACGCUGGCGGUAGGCCUAACACAUGCAAGUCGAACGGCAGCACAGUAAGAGCUUGCUCUUACGGGUGGCGAGUGGCGGACGGGUGAAGAAUACAUCGGAAUCUACUUUUUCGUGGGGGAUAACGUAGGGAAACUUACGCUAAUACCGCAUACGACCUACGGGUGAAAGCAGGGGAUCUUCGGACCUUGCGCGAUUGAAUGAGCCGAUGUCGGAUUAGCUAGUUGGCGGGGUAAAGGCCCACCAAGGCGACGAUCCGUAGCUGGUCUGAGAGGAUGAUCAGCCAAACUGGAACUGAGACACGGUCCAGACUCCUACGGGAGGCAGCAGUGGGGAAUAUUGGACAAUGGGCGCAAGCCUGAUCCAGCCAUACCGCGUGGGUGAAGAAGGCCUUCGGGUUGUAAAGCCCUUUUGUUGGGAAAGAAAAGCAGCAGGUUAAUACCCCGCUGUUCUGACGGUACCCAAAGAAUAAGCACCGGCUAACUUCGUG